rnacentral:rRNA from 1 species
GACGAACGCUGGCGGCAUGCCUAACACAUGCAAGUCGAACGAGACCUUCGGGUCUAGUGGCGCACGGGUGCGUAACGCGUGGGAAUCUGCCCUUGGGUUCGGAAUAACAGUUGGAAACGACUGCUAAUACCGGAUGAUGACGUAAGUCCAAAGAUUUAUCGCCCAAGGAUGAGCCCGCGUAGGAUUAGCUAGUUGGUGAGGUAAAGGCUCACCAAGGCGACGAUCCUUAGCUGGUCUGAGAGGAUGAUCAGCCACACUGGGACUGAGACACGGCCCAGACUCCUACGGGAGGCAGCAGUGGGGAAUAUUGGACAAUGGGCGAAAGCCUGAUCCAGCAAUGCCGCGUGAGUGAUGAAGGCCUUAGGGUUGUAAAGCUCUUUUACCCGGGAUGAUAAUGACAGUACCGGGAGAAUAAGCUCCGGCUAACUCCGUG